rnacentral:misc_RNA from 1 species
UAUCACCCUGUCCACUGAUAUGUAUCAGCUUCUUGAUGGCUACAACGUUUCCGUCUUUCAGUUGGGCCUUGUAUACAUCACCAAAACCUCCAGAGCCUAUAAGGCUGUCAUUGUGGAAGCCAUUUGUUGCUUCAAGAAGAUCUGCAAAAGUGAGCUUCCGCAGGGGCUUCUCAAAGGUCGCAAGGUUGAUGCUCAAUGCUUCACGUGCUCCAGUUAGCUUCCAGCUAGUAUUCGCUGUCCCUGAAUGUGAAUGGUUGUCGAUAUAGACAUCGAGGACUGAAUCUUUCUUUUUCUUUCUUUU